GACGAACGCUGGCGGCGUGCUUAACACAUGCAAGUCGAGCGGAGCGGCGAACGGGUGAGUAACGCGGGAGUAAUUGCCCCCCUCUCUGGGAUAACAGUUGGAAAAGGCGGCCAAUCCGGGAUAGUGGGGGAUGACUCGGGUCAUAUCAGCUGCUUGGUGGUGUAGUGGACUACCAAGGCGACGACGGGUAGCCGGCCUGAGAGGGCGACCGGCCACAUUGGGCUGGGGUACGGGCCUAGCUCCUACGGUCGGCAGCGGUGAGGAAUAUUGCACACUGGGGGGAGCGCGGCUGCAGCACUCCGCGUUCUAGAUGACUGCCUUCGGGUUGUAAACCGCUUUCAGCCAUGACGCGGUAGUGGCAGAAGAAGCACCGGCUAACUACGUGCCAGCAGCCGCGGUAAUAC
rnacentral:rRNA from 1 species